UUGCUUUGGUGAGUGCCCAAGUUUGGCAGC
rnacentral:sRNA from 1 species